AACGAACGCUGGCGGCGUGGCUAAGGCAUGCAAGUCGAACGGAUCGUAUCCAACGGGUAACUGAAGGGUAGAUUAGUGGCGAACGGGUGAGGAAUACAUGGACAACGUACCCUGGACACGGGGAUAGCGGCGGGCCGCAAGGCUCUUUAGCGAAAGUGCCGGUAAUACCCGAUGAUCCCGCAUGGUCGCAUGAUCGUGUGGGCAAAGCUCCGACGGUCU
rnacentral:rRNA from 1 species